rnacentral:tRNA from 1 species
GCGGGAGUAGCUUAAUUCUAAAGCUAGGAGACUCCAAAUCUUCUGAUGAAGGUUAAAAUCCUUCCUCCCGUGCCA